UGAUCCUGGCUCAGAAUCAACGCUGGCGGCGUGCCUAACACAUGCAAGUCGAACGCGAAAGUCCCGCAAGGGAUUAGUAGAGUGGCAAACGGGUGAGUAACACGUGGGUGACCUGCCUUCGAGUGGGGGAUAACGUCCCGAAAGGGACGCUAAUACCGCAUGACAUCCUGCCUUUGAAGAGGUGGAGAUCAAAGCCGGGGAUCGCAAGACCUGGCGCUUGAAGAGGGGCCCGCGCCUGAUUAGCUAGUUGGUGGGGUAACGGCUCACCAAGGCAACGAUCAGUAUCCGGCCUGAGAGGGCGGACGGACACACUG
rnacentral:rRNA from 1 species